AAUCUAACCAUCACUCAGUUUGGUAGUUAGUUACAGGUCUGUCAAUCCAACCAUCACUCAGUUUGGUAGUUAGUUACAGGUUUGUAAAUCUAGCCAUCACUCAGUUUGGUUGUUAGUUACAGACUGUCAAUCCAAUCAUCACUCAGUUUGGUAGUUAGUUACAGAUUGUCAAUCUAGCCAUCACUCAGUUUGGUAGUUAGUGACAGGUUUAUCAAUCCAACCA